rnacentral:rRNA from 1 species
GACGAACGCUGGCGGCGCGCCUAACACAUGCAAGUCGAACGAGCGAGAGAGAGCUUGCUUUCUCGAGCGAGUGGCGAACGGGUGAGUAACGCGUGAGGAACCUGCCUCAAAGAGGGGGACAACAGUUGGAAACGACUGCUAAUACCGCAUAAGCCCACGACCCGGCAUCGGGUUGAGGGAAAAGGAGCAAUCCGCUUUGAGAUGGCCUCGCGUCCGAUUAGCUGGUUGGUGAGGUAACGGCCCACCAAGGCGACGAUCGGUAGCCGGACUGAGAGGUUGAACGGCCACAUUGGGACUGAGACACGGCCCAGACUCCUACGGGAGGCAGCAGUGGGGAAUAUUGCACAAUGGGGGAAACCCUGAUGCAGCGACGCCGCGUGGAGGAAGAAGGUCUUCGGAUUGUAAACUCCUGUUGUUGAGGAAGAUAAUGACGGUACUCAACAAGGAAGUGACGGCUAACUACGUGCCAGCAGCCGCGGUAAAACGUAGGUCACAAGCGUUGUCCGGAAUUACUGGGUGUAAAGGGAGCGCAGGCGGGAAGACAAGUUGGAAGUGAAAUCUAUGGGCUCAACCCAUAAACUGCUUUCAAAACUGUUUUUCUUGAGUAGUGCAGAGGUAGGCGGAAUUCCCGGUGUAGCGGUGGAAUGCGUAGAUAUCGGGAGGAACACCAGUGGCGAAGGCGGCCUACUGGGCACCAACUGACGCUGAGGCUCGAAAGUGUGGGUAGCAAACAGG